CCUCGCCUAAGACGCACUCAUCGGGCAUGUACUUUCGAGAGAAUUCAGAUAUUGAGAACGUAUUAUAGUCGCUGUCUCUUAUAUCAUGACGGAUCGAGCCUGAUCGGCGCAGGAUGCGAAAGCUAAUACUGAGGGGCCUCUUACUAGUCGACACCAGCGUGCACGGAAAGCAGGAGCUCAAAGCUUGGAAGAGGGGGAUCAAGCUUGUGCAAUCUUUGCGAUUCGCUAGAUUUAUUUGGAACUCGAAGUUAUAAGCGGACGCUGAGAGUGCACAUCCUACGAGG
rnacentral:lncRNA from 1 species